AUUAAAUCUCAGAACAAACAAACAAAUCUGAGAUUAAAAUAAGAUAUAAAAAAGCAGCACAGCAGUCACUCUAAAGUGAAAAUGAGGGGUUCAUGAAGAUUUGGGUUUCUGCUAACAAAUAAAUGUCACCACUUGGAAAGAGUUAUCACCAAAAUUGCUUUAAUUUCUUGUAAAAUCCUCAAUAAAUCAUGAACACAAAAAUGCUGGUGAGCAUAAAAAUGCAAUUACUUUCUAAAUAAAAAUAAUAAUAAAAGGAGUGAGUGGUCAAUCCUCUCUGGCUGUGACAUUAAUAACACCAUGGGGGAUUCAAAUGUACCCUUUUCUAUUCCUAACUCCUUUCCGCUCAGCUUCCUGCAGUUUACUAAUUACUGUGUUUAUUCUUACUCACGUCAUUCUGUCCAGAAAUUGUCCUUCUGGCUGCAAUUAUGCUGCAACAAACAAAUGUCUCGUCAAGCAAAUUAAGCUCCUCCCAAACAAUAAAGGACUAAUAAUGAUAUUGAUUCUUGGCAAUUAGUUUUUAUUUUUUUGUGUGUGUCUAAUAUAAGCUCUACUUUGACAGCUGAGCUCUACUGAGCACUAUUCUAUGAAAUCAGCCUUUUGGUUCUGAGAUGCUUAAUAAUGCCACAAAUCACAAUCAAGCAGCUGUGCUGCUGAUGCUUAGAUGUAACAGUGUGAUCGAAAACUCGGGUUCAUUCUUUUAGAAUAAGAUUUUCCCCUAAAUGAGAUUUAUCUCUUCUGCCAAUUGGAUUUUGCCCGCAUGAUUUCCGUUGGAGAAAUUUCUGAGGUAGUGAUGUCUUCAUCAUAUCAUGAAAUACAACAGUCAGCUUUCAGAUUUUUUGAGUUAGACCUUGUACAAGAUAGCAAUUUUCUAAAACUCAUUAACAUCCUUUAGGAGAGAAUUUGUGCUAACAUGCAUUGAGCUAUUACUCUAACUUUAUUUGAUUACUCCAAAUAUGGAGUAUCAUUAUAUUAAUUGGAUUCAAUGGGACAUGUGUCUGUACUGUAUAUGUAUAAGUGCAAUUGUGUCUAUUUAUGAGUAGAAGUUAUUAAAAAGUCAAUUAUAUCUAAAUAAAUUAAAUUAUCUAAAUAAUUUAAAGAUUUUGGUUAUCACUUAUAAUAAAUCAGUCAAACAAAUAUACAGGUUGCAAAAGUUCAGGAGUUGAGGUUGUUUUUAAAACUUUAAUGUCAUUAGUUUUGACUGUUUUCCAUUGUUAACAGCCAGAUUAUUAUUCAGAGGAUGUUUUCUGAGAUUUUUGUUUCUCACAGAUGUAACUUUGCAUAGUUUGUUGCUGGUGCUUAGCCUUGGUUAUGAUGCAUCACCAUAGAAGCAGACACCUUGUCUGCAGCAGUCCAAUAGUCUGUGGCUAUUUUUAAGCUCCAAUUACUAACAAAAAAACAAAAACAGAAAAACAACCCUAAACUGCAAAAGGAAAUUGGCAGAACCGAACAGAAGAAGAGGAGAUUUAUGGUGUUUCUCUCUAUAAUGAUUGUGGGGGACAUCAGUUUUCUGGUUGAUAAGGCAGAAAAAUGUAAAGUGCUAAACUUAGGGCCGCAGCGCUAGAUCCAGACUCAAAAGAAACAAACAUGAAUCUGAACAUUUGUGUGACUUUGAUAAAAGAGUGUAAGUUUUAAAAUGAAAAAUAAAAGUGAAACAAAAACAAACUGUACUGCCAUCAAAGCGUCUCCAUCCUCUCCGGAGACUCAGAAAGGCUGGAGUCCCAAUACCUCUCCUCAUCACCUUCUACAAGGGCACCAUUGAGAACAUCCUGACACAGAGCUUCACAUCCUGGUUUGGCAGCUGCAAAGUCCAGGACAAACAACGGCUCAGCAGGAUUGUCAGGACUGCAAGCAGGAUUGUUGGUGCACCUCUCCCGAUCCUGGAGGAGUUAUAUGAGCAGCGCUGCCUACGCAGAGCAACCUCCAUCAUCAGGGACCCCCAGCACCCCUCUCAUGGACUGUUCUCCCUCAUGCCAUCUGGGAGGAGGUUCAGGAGCAUCAGCUGCAGAUCCAGCAGGAUGCUAAAAAGCUUCUUCCCGCAAGCUCAAUGGUCUGUCCUCCUCAUGCAUUCAUGCUAUCACAAACUCCACUCUGCAAUAAGAUCCAAGGAUUACCCCCCCCCCCACAUACAACCCGAACACACAAUACAUAUUAAUAUAUGUGUAUUGUAUUAAGUACCUGUGUAUCAUAAUUAAUAUAAUACACAGACUCUAGUAACCCCCCCCCCAUGAACAAGAACUGCUGUUAUGCACAUAGUCACUUUCUCACUGAAUGCUGAAUGCUGGUCUCUAUUCUAUUCUACUCUGAUUUUAUUUUAUAUUUAAAUUUUUUAUCUUCAUUUAUUCACUUAAAUUCUUUUUCCAUCUUAUUUUUUAUUCUAGGAUUUCUCUUACUGCUAUUUUUAUUAUUGCUGUUUCUUGCACUGUCAUGCUAGUGAGAAACAACAUCUCGUCUCACCCGUGUAUUUCUUCGCAAAUACUGUGUGAAAUGACAAUAAAUCUGAAUCUGACUCGGAGACAGAUCAUUCCAACUGAAUUACAGGAAGUCUUUUCCAACAAACUCAAACUAAUGCAACCAUUGAAAACCCAUCAAGAAUUAAUUUAGUAUUUUUGAAUUUGAAGUUCAGGAUACAUUCUGCAUCAUCACUAGGCACUAAAAGUUCACAAUAUCUACUAAGAAUAAUGCUUUUUAAAGAGAAAAGUAUGUACAUUUUUUUUUAUCUUAGUGUAGAAUUUAAAACAAUCUUUUGGAACAGACAAUAAUAAUAGAACUCAGUUCAAGUGAGUGACAUCUGGACUAAAUAUGCGCUGGAUUAAAACUGCUGAGAUUUUGUGACUCCCCCUCAGUGACUCCAAGAAACCCUUAUGCUCUUUUCUCCUGCCCCCCAUGGAAGGAGAAGGUUUGAUUAAUCCAGUUCAAAGAGCCACAUGUUCCCUCCCAGAGAGUAAUCCUGCUCUGCGGCCCAGUGCUUAAAUCCAAAAUCAAACCCCUCCUACGGUGAUGACAAGCCUCACAGGGAAGCCUUUUAUGAAUCAAUGUUUUGAGACUGACAAACAAGCUGAAGAACACAAAUCUAACUCUGACGGAAGGCCAAGCUGGCUGAUUAGCUGCUUAAUGUCACGGCACUCCAUCAGACGGCAGCUGUAAGGACUCAGAGAUCCCAAUACUGCAAAGGAGCUACAUUCAAAAUAAUGAAGAAAAAUCUGACAUUAUUAUAUCCAUAGUACACACAUAAGCUCUCAAAUUUAAUUAGAGAACUCCUGAUGCCUAACAGUUUCUUUUCCUAAACUUUUAAUGGUGUAGUUGUUCCUCAGCUCUGGGGAAAGUUGGGGUCUCUGAGUUAGAGGAUCUGCUCCUCUGUGCUUUUUUUGGUAUAAUUUGAGUUAUUUAAAAAUCUGAUGUGCUUGAGAUUAAAGGCUGGAAAUUAAACGAAAAUGACUGUGUCAAAAAAAAAAAGAAGAAAAUCCCAGCAGAAAAAUUCCCUCAGAGACUCUUUAAAACAUCCAACAGGAGUCCUCUGCUCUGCCAGAGAAGAUGGCAUGACUCCACUUUGCAUAUGUUUAUUAUUCCUCUGAAACCCAAUUUAAAACUUUGCUGUAUCAACAUGAAACAUCUCCAGAAAGCUUUUAUGCAUGCGUUUGUUAAUGCUAACAAGCUCAAAAUAACAACCAUUUAUCCUUUUUCUGUUCCGUUUUAUCCAGACACAACACCCCUUGGCCAGGAGGUCAUGGCAGAAAAGGUUUCAAAGGCUUUGAUCUCCUUCUUAAACGCUGUAAUUUUUAAAUCACUUUUAAAACCCAGCUUUAAAGGAGUGAUUCUCAGAAAAGAAGCAGCAGAAAAGCCAAAUAAAGUUCAGCCAUGUCUUUAUUUUUAUGUCACAAAACGGGCAGACCGCUGGUUUCAAAUGCAGCAGCUUUAUUAGCUCAACUAAAGUUCCACAAAGCUAAAUGAGGGUCAGGUAGGCAGGGGUCAAUAACGACCAUCAGAGAGGAAAAAGGAGGACUCAAGAUCCAGGCGAGAAUCGAGGCAGGUGGCAGGCAAUACGGAAAGAGCGAGAUGAGACACAACGAAAAAUGUCUUUGAGAACAAAAAAAGUUUUUUAAAAGCAAAAACUAAAAAUUUUAAAGCAAAGAUUUUAUAUUUUCAUUUGCAACUUAGAACGUUUUGACUUCUGACAAUCUACAUGAACUGGGUAUAUAAAACAAAUAAAUAAAUAAGUACUUUAAAGGUUUUAUAUUGAGAAGAAAAUGAAGAUAUGGACAAUUUCAGCAUCAGAAACUACUAUUUUUUUUGAUACGUAAGCCUCAAUCAAAACACAGAAGCUGGUUAGUUAUUUUUUCAUAUAAAAAGAACAAAAGAAAAUAGAAAGGUAGUCUCUGCUUUUAUGAAGCUCAAGUUUUUACAGCAUAAUCUAUUUAUGACAUACCGUUCCAACAGCAGUCUGCAAUGUGCCGAGGAGUGACGGGCAAUUGGACAUAAAAAGAGAGGAAAACUGUCUGAUCCUUUUUGCUCAAUCCACAUGAAAGCCCAGUGUAAUUGGUUUGUCAGUCUAAGAAUGUGGGGCAAAAAAGCAGAAAUUUAGAAAGAAAAUAGGAAAAACACUGGUUUCUGUUGUUAAAUGCACUGAUAAGGAGCAAAGUGGGUGGAUAAUGUUUGACAGGACUUUUACGAUGAAGGAUCAAAGGUUCAGCUCUGUUUCAUGUCACAUUCACCCUCACACUACAGACGGAUUUCGGUCUAGGAGAAUAAAUCUAGACAUCAGACAGUGUGUGGGAGUCCCUCCUCUUCGCCAUCAUGGCAGAACUGGCCUUUUACCCUGCGGUGGCGCUGAUGUAUUUCUUCGGAGUGAUGAGAGCCACGCAGGACGACCGGGUGGAACUGAAUGACGGGGCGUCUAUGAACGUCUUCUGCCUGUUUGUUGUAGCACAGCCACUGUGUCUGGUGAUUGGAGGAUACACUGGGAUGGCUACGUACCUCCUUACUGCCUUGGUGUCCUACAAUUUCCUGCCAUGGAGAAACUCCAAACAAGCAGAAGAGAAAAAAGCUUCAAAGAAGAAGAAGUGAAGGAAAGACAAAAACAGCAAGAGAGCAAUCAAGACAGCUGAAAAUGUAAAAUAUCUGAAAAAUAAAAUGGAAUAAAUCUGCCGCUACAAAUAGAAAAUGUUUUGAUUUUGGCUCAAUCUAAAUGAGAAAAUCUUUCUGCAGGUCUUCUGUCUUGUAGCUCACAAGGAAAAAACAUUUUUGACCGUUUUGUUUGUUUUUCCAACGUAAUGGAAAGUAAGCUUAAAUUUUUUAGGAACUCACCUCUGCAGUUAUAGGAUAACAAAGUGUUAGGUUACUGUGUUACUGUAACAUUUUACUUUAAUUAAUUGAGGAAUAAUGGCAGACGAAGUGUGCAUUGUCAGAAAUAACCCACACCAUGGAAGCCUGAACCAUUUAACACAAAGCGUGUUAGUUCUGAUAAUGCUGUCACGGUGCCUGGGUCAGCCCUGCCCCCCUCAGCUCUGCUCCUGAUUUCCACCAGCUGUGACCACUUCACCCUCAUCAACCUGCCUGCUUUCAAGGAGAUCCAGCUCAGUCAUUCGACGCCAGUUCGUUGCCCCUAACGGAUUCACCAAAACGAAGGUCACCCGUGAGGAAAUCUGCUGUCACUCACCUGCUGCCUUGACGAGCCUCGGAGCCGCCCAGCCGCAGUACUACCUCCAGCCUCGCCACGUCCACGUCUGGAUACCAUCCUGUUAAAGAAGCUAACCUUGUCACACACUCCUGUGAUUAAAAUCACUUACCAAGCUACUCACCUGCCUGAUCAUUCUGAGUUCCAGCGCCUGGGUCUGUCUCGCCUGAAAACCAUGACAAAUGCACACUAUGAAGGCCAUUAACCCGCUUAUACCAUGGUCACUUACAAAAUAAAU